UAAUCCAAUAACCGAAACACUCACUUGCCAAGCAAGUGAGGGGAGAUGACAAGGUCCUUUAGUCCAUGAACUUGAGCAAGGCUAGGAAAUAACUUGAUUCUUGGCACACAAAGCUUGAUUCAAGGCAACAAGGAAACGAGGAGCAAGAACAAGAUCCGUGGUAAUUACUUGGCGAGGUCCGGGAAACAAGGCAAGAUCCGGGGAGAAAACAAGGCUGAGAACGAAGGCUUGGAACAGGAACAAAGGCUUGAAAGCAGGAGUAGCUGUCCACACACGCUGCUCCGGUAGCUGACAAAUUGACUCCGCAAGAUUCCUUCGGGAGCAAGGAACCUAAAUAGGCCUCGUUUUCCCACCAGAGAACACUUCUCUGGGGAAUCAGAAACGAAAGUCAAUCUCUGUGUCCAGAUGUAUGACUCCCUAAAAUUUCUCAUGGCAGCAGGCUUAAUCAUCUGAAUGCUUUGCUGCAAUUCUCAAACUCCUGCGAUUAGCUUGUUGCACUCCUUUUUGCUGGAGAUAAUAAUUACGGCGCGAAAAAGGGGGAGAACUCGACUCAGGGCUUGUUUGGCAGAUUUCUGGAAAGGCUCAAUUUCUGGCUGGGAUAGUUCCUUUUCUGGCUGAAAUGGUGGAAAACCCAAGUUUUCCUCUUCAUCAUUCACAACAGCACUAGGAACGGGACUACAUGGCCCAUGAGUCAUCACAACCAUAGCCCAAAAAAUAGGACAGAUUUGUCUCAGGGUUGACAGAAGUCAGAAAUGACUUGAAGGCACCGAAACAACAGCUCACAGUAUCAAGACAGAGACAAACCUAGUGAUUGAGGUCAGUCCCAGAAAGGAGGGCUCCGGCUUCCUGGCUUCUCCAAACUCAAGAUUGUCAAAGUACCUAAGCACAGACAAACACAUAAAAUAUUAUAAUUUUAAUGAGCAUUUUUAAUGGAAAUACUUUUCCUACUGUGUUUAUUUUACAAGUGGGAGGUAUAGCUGUACUUUGAAUACUUUUCUAAUGAGGCAAUGCCAUGCAUGAGUGGAAAGUUCUGCAAAAUGUUAUUUCUUUGCAAGAAAAGAAAACAUUUACUUUAAAGGGAAAAUUCAUACCAAAGGCUUAGUGCAUUCAUGGAGCUUUGAAGUUUCUUCCUUUCUUUUUUAGGGAAUAUUCUUCAGGCAAAUACAACCAACAACACAACAGCAUGCCCCACAACAGACAUCACUGCCA
rnacentral:lncRNA from 1 species